UGCCAUGUGGCAUAGUGGUUUGAGUGUUGGACUACAACUCUAGAAACCAGGGUUUGAUUCCCAGCUCAGCUA
rnacentral:tRNA from 1 species